rnacentral:rRNA from 1 species
UCUAGACAGACUGCCGUGGACAACACGGAGGAAAGGUGGGGAUGACGUCAAAUCAUCAUGCCCCUUAUGAUCUGGGCUACACACGUGCUACCAAUGGCCGGUACAACGGGCAGCGAAGGAGCGAUCCGGAGCGAAAUCCUAAAAAGCCGGUCCCAGUUCGGAUUGCAGGCUGAAACUCGCCUACAUGAAGUUGGAGUUGCUAGUAAUCGCGAAAUCAGAAUGUCGCGGUGAAUGCGUUCCCGGGUCUU